CUGUCACUUCUAGCAACAAUCCUUACAAAUUUAACAUGGAGUUACUUUGAUUAUUUCUCUUAACUGCAAGGUUAUCCUUUUUGCUUUCCAAAGAAAAUGAAUUUUUUCAGUGGUCGUGUGGGGUAAGUGUAAAAGCAGAGAAUUGCCUGAAAUUCCAACGGAGCUAAAUGAUACAACUUUUUGCGAGAACCAUUCUUUUUUGGCACUUAAAAAGUUAAAUUGUAAAAGCAGAAAAUUAUUUUUGUAAAAUUAUGAUUUGAAAUCACAGCGGAGCUAAAUCGUAGAGCACUCUUUUGUUAAAAAACUUUCAUUAACCUGACGGAAUAUCUAAAAUCACAUGAAAAAGCAUUUUAAGUGCUGCAGUUAAAGUUGUCGGUUUGUCGCCACACCUUCACCCUUCAAGGUAGGCUUUGAGCAAAAAUGGUGUCACUCUCAAACGGCGCAAGGAAAAACGCUAAAGAAUAUAAUGAUUUGAGUCAGAAGUUUGCAACGCAAUGAAGGAGACGUUUCCAACCACACAUAUAUAUUCAUGGUCACUAUUACUAGACGAGUGGAUCUAGCUAUGUCCGUCUAUCCUUCCGUCUGUCCUUUUGUCCGCUUGUUUCUACGCAAACUAGUCUUUCAGUUUUAAAGCUAUCUGGCUGAAACUUU